ACCAAAGCAUCCGCCGCACGAUUAUUCUUUCCAUACUUUUGGGUUGAUUAGAUAUAUUACAAACUUAUAGCAUACGAGAGUCUUUUUUCUUUUGAACUCACUUGUCUAGGUUUAACUUUGAAAUGAGCUAUAAAUUGAAAUGAAAUGAGUUAUAAAUUGAAAUACAAUAAAAUUUAAACAUAGAGUUUGCACACGAGAUUUUAGAUUUGAUACCGAAUUAGAGAAAUUAUUGAGCACCCCGACACCUAAGCAGCCAAAAACAGCCAAACGAAGCCGUGAUCUUCGCGUAUCCGCCGCCACGACUUGCGAAACUGUCGGAAUUUCAGACCCGCCAUCACCUGAGUUUCGCUCCUCACGACAGCCCUUUCAAAAUCCGACCGCAACCACUGCCCAGAAACCGCCACAGUUGCCGGGACCAGCCAGCAAAUUUGCGCGGGUCGUGGAUCUCGAUCCGUCACAUCUAGCCGCGCAUUAGCGCACACCGCUGCCACCACUGGACUCAACGUGGACUGAAGCUUUAACCUUGAUCACAGCCACUUGAUGUCCAGCUACCAUGGUAGGCGAGGGUCCAUGCUCUUGGGCCUCGAUCUUAUUAUACGUAUCUUGACUUCAUAUUCUUGAGCCUCGUCGUAAUACGAAUCUUAGCUCCAUACUCUUGCCUCUCGAUCUCAUUACUGCUGAAACAAAAACAAAUUUUAUACCCUUAAUCGUGCAUUUCCAAAUAAACAUAUACUUUAGGAAAUUUCGAAAUUUACCAUGAUCUCCCAUGAAUCCGACCUUGGAAGCUUGUUAUAAAGCCUCAACCGAGUUGCUACAGCUUUGAUCUAGCUUCUGAAUUCCCGCUUCCUUUUCCUUAGCUCAAGAUCCGGCUUCUCUCAGCAAUUUACUGUGCACACACACGGGAGACAGUGGUUGAGCGCAGGGACCCCUCAUGUGUUAGUACAAAAUUGUCCAUCCCAUUAUGAGUUAAAAUAACACAAUUAAGGAUUAUACUUGUCCAUAAUAUGCUAAUGUAUAGGG
rnacentral:lncRNA from 1 species